rnacentral:lncRNA from 1 species
CACAUCUGACAGAAAAAAAGCAGGCCUUCCUGAUGCACAACAGCAUUUCAGUCCCUCCUAGAUUAAAGAAUACGUACUCUUCAACCACAUUUUCAUUAAUGAUUACCUGAGAUGUUUGUAAUACAAGGGACAGUAAGCACAGGACUAUUCAUCACUCUCCUCUCCAAAGUGGCCAUUCAAGACACCAGGAGAAACAAGCACAGUUGAACGGACCCUGUCAACUCUAUCAUCUGCUUCCAGUCCCCCACCUUCUCAUGUCAGCUGGUAGAGAUCUUGUGAGCAGUACCCACUGCUUGCCCAAGCACAUUCCAGCAGUGAUGGAUGAUAUUUUUUGAGAACUGGCCUCACAAUGUUCCAAACAAGGAGAGAAUGUGGAGAUGAGCUCUACAUUUGUCAGGGGCCUUAUGCCUCUGAUUUGGAUCAACAGUGUAGCAAAAUGUUUGUUCUCCAAAGGAAGCGGAGGUCACCUCUGCCAUAUGGGUCAUAACAACCCGAAGCAGCCCUAUAGGCUUGGGGAAGAGUGGUUGGAAAGACACCUGGCAGAAAAGGACCUGGGGGUGUCAGCUGACAGCCAGCAGCGUGCCCAAGUGGUUGAGAAGACCGAUGGAAUACUGGCCUGCAUCAGAAAUGGUGUGGCCAGAGGAAUCAGUGAAGGGAUCAUCCCUUCGUAUGUGGCACUCAAAGUGUUGCCUAGGGAGGUGGUGGAAUCACCACGCAUGGAAAUAUUUAAGAGACAUGUGAAUGUGAUGCUAAGUGAAAUGGUUCAGUAAUGGAUUUGGCAGUGUCAGGUCAAUGGUUCAACUCGAUGACCUUAAGGUAAUCACUCCAACCUAAAUGAUUCUAUAAUUCUAUGAUUCUAUAUCUUAUGAUAGCCCCAUAAUGUGGAGAUGUCAAUUAUGGCCAAAGCAGCUGUGUUGGUAAACAGCUGUGUGUAAGCAAAUCAGAGCCCCUUAUUACCAUAGUAUGCCUUAUUUUGUCAGAUAAAGGUGGGAAGCUCUAUUUGUCAGAGAGUACCUUGCCUGUUUGGAUUGCUGGUAUAUCUACUCUAUGAUUCUACGCUAUCAGUGAAAAUAUUUCAGGUCCAACAGGCUGACUCUGCAACUCUGCAACCAAAGUCUUACUGACAACUAAAUAACAUGCUGGGGAAGUUUCUUUAACUCUACUAAUUCUAUUGCAAACUUAUCUGAGUCAUUUAGAGGAUGAUGCAUGUCUGAUUAUUUUUGCUAUUCUGGUGUGAGUCUGGAUACUACCUGUACUACGUGCUUCAGUAUUUGAGAAUUAGUCUUACAAAUUUCCAUUCUCAACAGCUUUUGAUAAUUCAGAAUUGUAAAUGAACUAGAUUUUUUGAAAAACUCUUUCUGAAUGAAACAAUACAAAAAUACAAUACCUCAGAAAUGAUGAAAUGCAUCCUUUUGAGGUUAUGACAUUUGUUUCCUGUAGGCAAUGAAAUUUUAGCACUUGCAGUCCUCUGAGUGUAGUUUCUAUCCAAUGCACGUACUGCAGAGAACAGAACUAUUUCAGGUUAUUAUAUGCUAUCUCUUUUGUGCUUAGGAAAACCUUUUGGAAAGAGUAACAGUGAGGUCCGGCAGUCAUACACUUAAUCAGUCUAUACCUUAAUAUCUUAUUUCCAAUAGAGGUUAAUGUCAAUUUGAUUUACAUUACAGCAGGAAAUCCUGCAGUAGAAAAUAAUGGAGUAUACUGUCAUAUGAAAACUCUCUUAUUAUCACGUAGCUUCUUAAAAGCAGCAUAUUCCCUGAAAUACGAAGUUUAUGCGUCGUGUUAGAUAUUCUGGUUUCUACUUGUGUUACCUGAUGUUCUUGUUACCCUCACAAACUUCCUGUUUCUGGAAGGAAUGACGUCCUUUGGAAAUGAGUUGACACACUGUGCAUUUACACAGCUGAAAAAUACCUGUUUCCUUUUGCCAGUUAUAAAUGUGUUAUCUUUAGAUUAAAUGAAUGUUUACUUGUUUAUUUCUGGUGAGAAAAGGCCAUUCUAUUAUUUCAGUACCUUCUCAGUAUUUUUCUGCAUGCAUUUAUUCAAUUUCCUGUUAUUUAUUUCCAUUUUAAAGUAUAGCAUUGAUCUAUCUUCGUAAAAAUGUGUUUCCACAUCUAACAAUCUUUGCCAUCAAUUCUAGUCUUCUGGUUUUGCUAUGCCUCCCCUGGGAACACAAAAUCUCUAUAAUAAAUUGCAAUGAAAGAGUGUAAAUUAAUUUAGCAUGCAUUUCCACGCACUGAAUCUGCUUCCUGUAAAACUUUUGGUAUUUCAACUGGCUGUCAUUUUUUUUUUUAAUAAGUGGAUUUUUUCAGAAGCAUUUGCUUUUUUCGCUCGCACAUUUUCUUUGGACAAAGGGCCAGACUGAAUAAGUAAUAUGCCAAGCCACAAACAGCUUUCCUUUACAUGUCAGUAUUUUAAAUUGAAUUGGUUUUCUUUCCAAGCCUUAUUUCUACCAAUAAGAACUGAAUUUGGCUAGAAACUGAAGACUUCUUCUUGCCCCUUGUAGGGUUGGACUUCACUUCCAAAAUGAAAAGGCUUAAAAUAGACAUCUAAGAGUAUAAAAAAAUAAAGCUAGACCAUUUUAGAUGGUUUUCUGGCAUGUAUUUUACAAUUUGCUUUAAUUAGGAAUUACACUUCAGGUCCAAAAAAUUAAAAAUGCAAUCAUCGGCAAUCUGCUUUGGAACAGAAUUUGCAUGAUAAAUGUGACUAAUAUGUGUGUACAGGAGAGCACAACAUAAAUAUUUCAUUUCAAUAAGAUUGGACACUGUGAUGACUUGCAGAACUCAAGUACUGUAUUCAUCCAGAAAAAUGUAUUGUAUCGCAAUAUGUAUUCUCUCAUACAUAUUACAUAUGUUUUAGCUUAAAAUAUUGCUAGGGAACCACUAGAAAGUGUAUGGGGGAAAACAUGAAGUAAGUCUUGCCAUCCCUGAGCUGUUCCCACUGGUUGCUGAUCUUACCUCCCCUACAGUUCUGAGCACGUAGCACCGGCAAUGCUCACCUUUACGAGCUUUGCUGUGGUUAUAGCUAGAUGCCUACAGUAAACAGCUAAGAAAAGUAAGGUGAGAAUGGCAAAAAUACACACGAUUUCUCCACACUGAUUAGAAAUGGGGAAUAUCAGAUUACACAUCUGGAUGUUCGAAAUUUCGUGAGAUGAACUCCAGCCUAGGACUCUGGCACAACCACCUUCCAGAAAGCGAAAAACACUUGCUGCUAAAGUGGAACAAGAAUCCAGGAAAGGUUAUAUGGAUACUCUAGAGCCUGUGCUAUGCACUGGCAGAGAGCCGUGAAGACAGCUUUCGCCAUAAAAUGGCCAAGUAUGAGCCACUGCUGGAGGAGAAGGAUGUUUCUGAGACUCAUGAUGCAUGCCUAACAUUACUGGGAAAUGGUGAAACUUACCUUGGUGGCAAUAGUCUCCAACAGUUAUCGUGGUACGACAUGGCAGGUCACCUCCCUACUUCUUACCUUUCUCAUUUUUGCUUUCUGUCUUCUGAGAGUCUGGUUCAGUCAGCAACUCCACCCAGCCCUCCACCGGGUGAGAGCCUGGACGAAAAGAGCACAGGAGAAAUGACAUUUCCAGUGGCAUAAUAUUUUGCCAGCUGAUGAAAUAGCUGCUAAAGCCGUGUUGUCUGGCUUUUGCUUUCAAAACAGCUCUGGCCUCUAUGAGAGCCAGAGACAAAGGUUGCAUUUUCUAUUACUUCUCUCAUCUUGGUUUUUUUUUUUUUUCUUUUCUUUUCCUGUUCUAUUUGUUUCCCUUAAGGAAGAUGGGAUCAGAGCUCAGAAGCAAAAUAAUCAAAUCUUCCUCAUAAUUACAUCAAUAAAGAUGUUUGUGACAUGUUAAAUACCAUCCAAGAAGAUUCUCAAACAGGAUUUCGCAGCGCUCCCCUCCAUACAGCUUAAGAAAACAUGGCAAAGCAGCUGCUUAGAGGAAGAAACUUCCUAUUUGAGUGGCUUGGUUUGUUGUUUUUUGUUGGUUUUUUUUCAUCCUGGGCAGUUCUGUGGAUGUCAACUUUUUACUCUGGAAAAUUUGAUUAGAUGUGCGUAAUUACUUUAAAAGGAAAUAAUAAAUUUGCGAGCAUGACGUCUGUAGAACAGAUCAGCGAAAAGAUAGAGGACCAUUUUAGUGCUCAACUCUGCCUUGAUGUCUCAAAGACAAAUAGGAAAAUCUGGACUAGUGCUCUCUCAAAGCCAGCUGGGCCUAUUUUCAGUGACCCAAUUAAAGCCACAAUUUCACACCAAUGUCUAGGAGCUUAAGGGGAUCACAGAAUCAUAGAACCACAGAAUGGCUUGGGUCGGAAGGGACCUCAAGGAUCAAGCUCCAAGCCCCCUCCUGCAGGCAAGGCCACCAACCUCCAUAUCUAAUACUAGACCAGGCUGCCCAGAAAAUAAAUAAAUAAAUAAAUAAAACAGAUUUUAAUCAGAAAUUAAAAACAAAAACAAACACCUUUGAGAAAACUAAGAAAGACCCCCAGGAAGGCAUGUAGUUAGUUUUGUGUGCAUGGUUGUGUUGGGAAUGCAGAGUGGAUUUCUUCAUGAGCCCAAAACUGAGCACAGUUGUAAGUAUUUGGAGGAUUUAAGCUUAAUGGUAGAGCUGAUGUUUCAGAUAAGGAUAAGAAAAACAGCAUACGCAAGGCAAUGGAUUAAAAUAUUAGGGUCAUGUGGUGACUGAUAACUUAUGUGAUCUUUUUAAGAGUCUAAAUGGAGAACUCAGAUAAAAGGAAUUGCUUUUUUACUACUUAAGCUGGCCCAAAUAUGAGUCAAUGUAAAUUAGGAAUACUGCACUCUGCCUUCUCGGUCUUUUCGUUUAUGAAUUUGAACAAGGAGUGAGCAGAUAAAGAACUGGCCUUCUAGAGGAACUUCAUGCUAAACCUGAUCUGUCUUUAAUAACCGGGGAUGCAUUUUGUCUCCUGCCCCCUUGAGAUUUGGUUAAUAUUAACACAAGAUGGGCAAUGGAAUUCAGAGCUUUGCUUUUAAGAACUUUUCAUCUUGCAAAAUUAGGGACUGAAAAUGAGAUAAAGAUUUUGCUUAGAAAUGCACUGCACAACUUCCCAGCUUUCCCAGCCCUUCCAACAUUUGUGCACUUGCUUUACAAAUGCAAAUGUUGCUUUGCUAAGUUCAUUUUCAGUAGAGAGGGCUAAAGCAGCACCGGUGUAAGUUCUAUGACUUCAGGUUCAAGGGAAGCAAAUGUGUCUUUUGUGUGGUGAAGUAAUAAAUUAAAGUUAGCAUUACAGCAUUCCUAAGCCAUUACAGGAAUCCUUUGUCAGCACUGUAAGCUCACUUGUGCAGUGAUCAAAGAUGAUGCUUCUGAAGUUACAACACUGGUAAGGAUGCCUGUGGUGGAAGAAGCAACGUUAUUUCAAUGCUUUAUGAACUUUGGCUCUACAGGUGUGGGCACAGCACCUGGAUGAAGAGGAUGUGCAUUCCCUUAGCAUGCAGAGCAUGUGGAGCAACCGGCCCCGAGCAGCCCGUGCUCCCUGGGGCCAGCCCUGUUCCAGCCCAGCAGGUAUGAGUGCAUUGCAGCCCAAAACGCACUGCUGUUGCCCAAUUGCUGCCACUUCACCCCUCUUUGGGGCGUGGCCUAAAGCACUCACAGGCAUGGGCUGAUGGUUGGACUAGAUCAUCUUUAGUGGUCUUUGUGACUUUGAUGCUUAAUUAUAUGGUACUAUGAAAUGCUCAGGCAGCCAUAGGCAGACUUGCAGGUCUUUUCGUGAUGCAUGAGGAACCCACAAGCAUUACAAACUUCUGCUGAAGAAGCAGCAGAUAAGGAAAAAAAAAAAAAGGUAUUUCAAAGCGCUUUCAUGGUUCUUUGGACACCUGACCCUAGCCCAUAGUUCAGAAUGAUGGAAAAAUGAGUGCUCGGGCAGGGAUUUUCACAGGCAAGCAUGUCUGUGUAAAAACGAGGACUGUAGGGAACACCAACAGUGUUAGAUGCAGAGAGGGCUACUCGGGCACCAAAGCAGAGCUGCUGGGGCUGGGGCUGCUCAGCCGGACACACCGGCCUCGUGUUCUGAGGGCAGCGGCAUUCCCCGGGCAGCCGAGGCUUUCCUGGCGCGGGGCGCGGCCGCGGAGCAGCGAGAGGGG